AGAAAACAUCCAACUUAGCUCAAGAUUAAACACAAUUAAGCAAAGAUCUAUACCACGACUUCUGAAGCAUGAAGGCGGCUGCGGUCCUUGUGUUGGUCCUACUGGUGAUUACAUCCUCUGCUGCUGCAGCUCCGGCCAGGAUAUUGGCUGGAGAUGACGGGCAGCAGACAGGCGAAAUGGUGAAGAAGAUGGAGGUGAACGUACUUACCGGUCUGCCAUGUUCUGACUACGGUUGCCAUACCCGCAACAGAAACAAAUCCCCCUGAAACUGAGGUUUAAAAAGUGUGCUUACAGUUCGUCAUAGCUCAAUGAAGAAUUAUCUGUGCCAAUGACGGAUCCGAAAGUACUUAAGUGAAAGGUUUAUAUAUGAAUAAACAGACCGUUGCUCUACAAGAAAAAAGGUAGUUUCUCAAUGAACCGAGAAAAAAGCGGUGUUUCGGUGAAGUAUACUACAUGAAAGUAGUAUAACUGGCAACUAUUGUGCCAGAAAGGAUAUAAUAUCAUGUACGUAAUUUCCUUGCAUUAAAAAAUGCAUGAUGUAUUAUGUAUACAUUCGGAUUGUAAGUGUAUUAUGAAUACC